rnacentral:tRNA from 1 species
UUAAUUAUAGGUUCAAUUCCUAU